GACGAACGCUGGCGGCGUGCUUAACACAUGCAAGUCGAACGAUGAAGCGGGUGCUUGCCCUCGUGGAUUAGUGGCGAACGGGCGAGUAACACGUGAGUAACCUGUCCUUUUCUUUGGGAUAACGGCUGGAAACGGCUGCUAAUACUGGAUAUUCAGGCUACAUCGCAUGGUGUGGUUUGGAAAGGUUUUUUCUGGGAUUGGGUGGGCUCGCGGCCUAUCAGCUUGUUGGUGGGGUGAUGGCUUACCAAGGCUUUGACGGGUAGCCGGCCUGAGAGGGUGGUCGGUCGCACUGGGACUGAGAUACGGCCCAGACUCCUACGGGAGGCAGCAGUGGGGAAUAUUGCACAAUGGACGAAAGUUUGAUGCAGCGACGCCGCGUGGAGGGUGUAGGCCUUCGGGUUGUGAACUCCUUUUUCUCGCGAAAAAGGCACAGUUUUGGCUGUGUUGAUGGUAGUGGGGGAAGAAGCGCCGGCUAACUACGUG
rnacentral:rRNA from 1 species